rnacentral:rRNA from 1 species
UCGAUUUAAUUCUGAACGAGUGGCGGACGGGUGAGUAACACGUGGGUAACCUGCCCUUAAGUGGGGGAUAACAUUUGGAAACAGAUGCUAAUACCGCAUAAAUCCAAGAACCGCAUGGUUCAUGGCUGAAAGAUGGCGUAAGCUAUCGCUUUUGGAUGGACCCGCGGCGUAUUAGCUAGUUGGUGAGGUAACGGCUCACCAAGGCAAUGAUACGUAGCCGAACUGAGAGGUUGAUCGGCCACAUUGGGACUGAGACACGGCCCAAACUCUACGGGAGGCAGCAGUAGGGAAUCUUCCACAAUGGACGCAAGUCUGAUGGAGCAACGCCGCGUGAGUNAAGAAGGCUUUCGGGUCGUAAAACUCUGUUGUUGGAGAAGAAUGGUCGGCAGAGUAACUGUUGUCGGCGUGACGGUAUCCAACCAGAAAGCCACGGCUAACUACGUGCCAGCAGCCGCGGUAAUACGUAGGUGGCAAGCGUUAUCCGGAUUUAUUGGGCGUAAAGCGAGCGCAGGCGGUUUCUUAAGUCUGAUGUGAAAGGCCUCGGCUUAACCGAGGAAGUGCAUCGGAAACUGGGAAACUUGAGUNCAGAAGAGGACAGUGGAACUCCAUGUGUAGCGGUGAAAUGCGUAGAUAUAUGGAAGAACACCAGUGGCGAAGGCGGCUGUCUGGUCUGUAACUAACGCUGAGGCUCGAAAGCAUGGGUAGCGAACAGGAUUAGAUACCCUGGUAGUCCAUGCCGUAAACGAUGAAUGCUAGGUGUUGGAGGGUUUCCGCCCUUCAGUGCCGCAGCUAACACAUUAAGCAUUCCGCCUGGGGAGUACGACCGCAAGGUUGAAACUCAAAGGAAUUGACGGGGGCCCGCACAAGCGGUGGAGCAUGUGGUUUAAUUCGAAGCAACGCGAAGAACCUUACCAGGUCUUGACAUCUCUUGAUCACCUGAGAGAUCAGGUUUCCCCUUCGGGGGCAAAAUGACAGGUGGUGCAUGGUUGUCGUCAGCUCGUGUCGUGAGAUGUUGGGUUAAGUCCCGCAACGAGCGCAACCCUUAUGACUAGUUGCCAGCAUUUAGUUGGGCACUCUAGUAAGACUGCCGGUGACAAACCGGAGGAAGGUGGGGAUGACGUCAAAUCAUCAUGCUCCUUAUGACCUGGGCUACACACGUGCUACAAUGGAUGGUACAACGAGUUGCGAGACCGCGAGGUCAAGCUAAUCUCUUAAAGCCAUUCUCAGUUCGGACUGUAGGCUGCAACUCGCCUACACGAAGUCGGAAUCGCUAGUAAUCGCGGAUCAGCACGCCGCGGUGAAUACGUUCCCGGGCCUUGUACACACCGCCCGUCACACCAUGAGAGUUUGUAACACCCGAAGCCGGUGGCGUAACCCUCUUAGGGAGCGAGCCGUCUAGG